CGCGUAGGCGGGAAUGCAAGUCAGAUGUGAAAUCCAGGGGCUUAACCCUUGAACUGCAUUUGAAACUGUAUUUCUUGAGUGUCGGAGAGGUUGACGGAAUCCCUAGUGUAGCGGUGAAAUGCGUAGAUAUUAGGAGGAACACCAGUGGCGAAGGCGGUCAACUGGACGAUAACUGACGCUGAGGCGCGAAAGCGUGGGGAGCAAACA
rnacentral:rRNA from 1 species